UACCCUGACCCUCAGGGCAGCCCACAUGGGGUGGGGCCAUGUUCAAAGCCAGGGGGCCCCAGAUCUCUCUCCUGGCUUCUGUCCCUGCGUCCAACCUGCCCUCAACCCGCGGACGGAUAACUCGGCGGGCACACAGCUAUGCUGCUGCUCCUCCGCAAACCUCUUGGGCAGGCAGGGAGCCCCGUCCACCACCAGGUCAGCUGUGAAGGCCUUUCUGAGUCACUGUGGUCUGGGGAGAAGGACCCACAGGGUGGGAUGCAAGGAAGUGAGCAGAGAGCUGUCCGGGUAAUGCAGAGCGUCGAGGAGGCGGGGACAGGGACGCCGUCCCCAGGGGUGGGCAUGUGAGCACCACCCAGCAGAGAACUCUGGAACACGGAGAGGCCCAGGGGUGCUUCAGGAGCAGCAGAGCUCAUGUCUGGGUCUCCCCGCCACCCAGCUGCACUCUGUGGACACCUUCUGGGGGCCCGGCCUUCCAGAGCACUGCCCCAUGUCACAGCCAAACAGAAGCUAGGGAGGCCAGGCAAGUGGCAGGGGCCACGUGAACCCAGUCUGGAUCCCCAGCUCCAGGCUGCCAUGAGGCCGUCAGCGGGGACCAUCACUUUGGGGAAGACUUGGAGGCACCAGAGAGGCACGAGCAAGAGUCAGGAAGUGUCCUGCAGCUAUGUCAGAAGGAGCGAGGGGAGAGGGGUGGCGAGAGCCUGGGCCCAGGGGUGCCGUCAAGGCUUGGGAGGAAGCAGAGACACCCACACCCUGCAGAGUCACCAAGCAAUUGUCGGGCGGCAGGGCCACGUGCUCGCCAGGACGUGUGCUCCUGGUGGAGACAGGUGCACGCAGUGGGGACCCGGGGGGCCUGAGGCUGCCCCGUGGCCCUUCACACCACCAUCAGCCACCCAAGGUGACCAAGGGACAGAGCCCCCUGGGCUCCUGCAGAUGGGGUGGGAAGGCCCCCGUGACCCCUUCCCAGAGAAUCACAGGACGGCCAUCCGUUUGGGGGAGGAAAAGUCCCAAGAGGUUGAUUUAUCACCCACACCACUGGCCCAGGCAAGGGCAGCCCUUUCCCCUUGGCCUUCUUCGAGACAGGUGGGAAAGAACGGGAUGUCUUGUCCCACUGCCAGGGGACAGUGUAGGUGUGACAGUCCUGGCAAAGAUGAGUCACCUAGUUUAGCUCCAGUGUGGCCAGGAAGGGGCGACCCCUCCCUUGCGACACCCGGGCCACAAAUAUUGCCUUUGCAAAUGGAAACAAAAACAACCCAGCUAAGGAAGUCUCGUCCACCCUCAGCCUGUGGCUUCCAGGCCAAGCCAGGCGGACCUCGGCCUCACAACGCCCGGGGCCAUCCCAGCCAUGCAUGAAGCCCAGGACCCCACAGCUCCCUCUCUGCCUCAGACGGAGGACACUAUGUGGCCAACAGGUCAUCCCAUGCAGGGCCAGCCUGGGCAUCAGGUAAAGCCAAAGCUCCAGUAGGCGCAGGGGACACGAUGACCAAGAUACAAACAGCCAAACCCCCAAAUCUGUGGGUUGCCACCGCGGCCGUCCCUGUGAGCACAGCAGUGCUCUGUGUGUUGGAUGCUCUCCGAGAACCUGGCUCUGGCUUCUCAGAGCCACGCACACCUGGAGGGCAUCCGGCACCCCAUGGGGUUUUCUGGUCCCUGUCAGCUGUGGUGACACACUUCACUACCCACUCCGUGAAUCCUGCACUGACCCUGAGGCCCAUGGCUCUCCAAGAUUCAUCACUGGGAACAUUAGAGGAAGCCCCUUCUAGGGAGCAAUGGAGAGAGUGGGAUCUCACCACGCCCACCCUACUGACGUGUUCUAAAUUCCCAAAAGCACUUAAAAAACUUGGUGCCCAAACCUGGGAUUAACCCACAAAAGCAUCUACUUAGCACCCAACUUUUUGAUCCAAAGGCACCGCGGAUCCAGCUGUCUUUUCAGAAACAGGCACAAAAGAAGCUCUGAUCCUGGGAAGGAGGCCCGGGGGGCCUCGGGACGAUACCGCCCUGCAGAGAAAAUGAGCCACACCUUUGUGUGGCACCGAUGAAUGCCAGUCCCUGUGCCCAGACUCAAAGAGGAGCUCCCAGAGACCACGUGGGACAGACACCCAACCCCGGGGUGGACCAUCGCCUUUUAACAUAUUCUCUGAAACUCCAGCAAGCGCUUCCUGGCCUUUUCCAGAAACUGCUCGUGCAACUUGUUCUGCUCUGAAAUCUGCAGCUGAAUGUCGCGGAUCAUCUGGUUCUGCUUGUCCUCGUCUUCGAUGAUGCUGCUGUUCGAGGAGGAGCUCGGCCGAGUAGUGGAUCUCCAAGCUCAUGUCUGGGAGCUCCGCGGACUCAAACGAGGGCUUCUGCCUCCUCCACUCCAGCUCCAGCCUCGGCGGCUUCUGUGCGAAGGCCAUCCAGUCUGCUCCGCGCGCCUGCUCCUGCAGGUGAGGCUGGGGGCAGCUGUCCAUCAGUGUGGCCAGCUCGGAGGCCUCCUGCUCACACUCGGUGCUUUUAAAGAGCAAGUCCUCUUCGUCGACAGCCGUGUCCGCCUCGGCCAACGAUGUCUGACUUCCGUCCUUCACUGCAGGCUGGGCCAUCGGAUGGCAUCUGGGGAGUUCGACCGUGCUUCGUGAUUGUUUCAAAUCGGUCUUGGAUGACUUCUGGGAGACCUCGGCCUCUGCAGGAUCCCCGGACUCACCAGCAGGCAGCGACUCCACCUCGGCCGCCCCCUCUUGUGGGGUGUCACUAUCGCACCCCUGCAUGACUGAAAAGACCUGCUCCUGGGGGUCAGGGUCCGUCCUGGACCUUGAGUCGAGGUGCUGAUUCAAGUGCCUCUUGAGCUUCCUGUUUGAAUUAAACAGCUGCUCGAAGGCCGA